AGAGUUAUUAUCCUGGCUCAGAUUGAACGCUGGCGGGAGGCCUAACACAUGCAAGUCGGGGGGUGAGCACAGGAGAGCUUUCUCUCCGGGUGACGAGCGGCGGAGCGGGUGAGUAAUGUCUGGGAAACUGCCUGUUGGAGGGGGAUAACUUCUGGAAACGGUAGUUUAUACCGCCUAACUUUCUCCGGCCCAAAGUGGGGGACCUUUGGGCCUCACGCCUUCAGAUGUGCCCCAGAUGGGAUUAGUUUGUAGUGUGGGGUAAUGGUCUCACCUAGGGGACGAUCCCUAGCUUGUUUGAGAGGAUGACCAGCCCCCCUGGAACUGAGACACGGUCCAGAUUCCUACGGGAGGCAGCAGUGGGGAAUAUUGCACAAUGGGCGCAAGCCUGAUGCAGCCAUGCCGCGGUGUGUGAAGAAGGCCUUAGGGUUGUAAAGCACUUUCAGCGAGGAGGAAGGGUAGUGUGUUAAUAGCACAUUGCAUUGACGUUACUCGCAGAAGAAGCACCGGCUAAUUCCGUGCCAGCAGCCGCGGUAAUACGGAGGGUGCAAGCGUUAAUCGGAAUUACUGGGCGUAAAGCGCACGCAGGCGGUUUGUUAAGUCAGAUGUGAAAUCCCCGCGCUUAACGUGGGAACUGCAUUUGAAACCGGCAAGCUAGAGUCUUGUAGAGGGGGGUAGAAUUCCAGGUGUAGCGGUGAAAUGCGUAGAGAUCUGGAGGAAUACCGGUGGCGAAGGCGGCCCCCUGGACAAAGACUGACGCUCAGGUGCGAAAGCGUGGGGAGCAAACAGGAUUAGAUACCCUGGUAGUCCACGCUGUAGACGAUGUCGAUUUGGAGGUUGUGCCCUUGAGGCGUGGCUUCCGGAGCUAACGCGUUAAAUCGACCGCCUGGGGAGUACGGCUGCAGGGUUAAUACUCAAAUGAAUUGACGGGGGCCCGCACAAGCGGUGGAGCAUGUGGUUUAAUUCGAUGCAACGCGAAGAACCUUACCUACUCUUGACAUCCAGAGAAUUCGCUAGAGAUAGCUUAGUGCCUUCGGGAACUCUGAGACAGGUGCUGCAUGGCUGUCGUCAGCUCGUGUUGUGAAAUGUUGGGCUAAGUCCCGCAACGAGCGCAACCCUUAUCCUUUGUUGCCAGCGAUUCGGUCGGGAACUCAAAGGAGACUGCCGGUGAUAAACCGGAGGAAGGUGGGGAUGACGUCAAGUCAUCAUGGCCCUUACGAGUAGGGCUACACACGUGCUACAAUGGCGUAUACAAAGAGAAGCGAACUCGCGAGAGCAAGCGGACCUCAUAAAGUACGUCGUAGUCCGGAUUGGAGUCUGCAACUCGACUCCAUGAAGUCGGAAUCGCUAGUAAUCGUAGAUCAGAAUGCUACGGUGAAUACGUUCCCGGGCCUUGUACACACCGCCCGUCACACCAUGGGAGUGGGUUGCAAAAGAAGUAGGUAGCUUAACCUUCGGGAGGGCGCUUACCACUUUGUGAUUCAUGACUGGGGUGAAGUCGUAACAAGGUAACC
rnacentral:rRNA from 1 species